CAAGUCGCACGAGAAAGUGGAGCAAUCCAUGAGUAAAGUGGCGCACGGGUGAGUAACACGUGAAUGAUCUACCUCCGAGUGGGGAAUAACCUAGAGAAAUCUGGGCUAAUACCGCAUAACACUUACGAGUCAAAGCAGCAAUGCGCUUGGAGAGGAGUUCGCGGCCGAUUAGCUAGUUGGCGGGGUAAUGGCCCACCAAGGCGAUGAUCGGUAUCCGGCCUGAGAGGGCGCACGGACACACUGGAACUGAAACACGGUCCAGACUCCUACGGGAGGCAGCAGUGGGGAAUUUUGCGCAAUGGGGGAAACCCUGACGCAGCAACGCCGCGUGGAGGAUGAAGUAUCUUGGUACGUAAACUCCUUUCGAUGGGGAAGAUAAUGACGGUACCCAUAGAAGAAGCCCCGGCUAACUUCGUGCCAGCAGCCGCGGUAAUACGAGGGGGGCAAGCGUUGUUCGGAUUUAUUGGGCGUAAAGGGUGCGUAGGCGGUCUGGCAAGUCUUGUGUGAAAUCUUCGGGCUCAACCCGAAGUCUGCACAAGAAACUGCCGGGCUUGAGUAUGGGAGAGGUGAGUGGAAUUUCCGGUGUAGCGGUGAAAUGCGUAGAUAUCGGAAGGAACACCUGUGGCGAAAGCGGCUCACUGGACCAUAACUGACGCUGAGGCACGAAAGCUAGGGGAGCAAACAGGAUUAGAUACCCUGGUAGUCCUAGCCCUAAACGAUGAUUGCUUGAUGUGACAGGUACCCAAUCCUGUCGUGUCGAAGCUAACGCGAUAAGCAAUCCGCCUGGGGAGUACGGUCGC
rnacentral:rRNA from 1 species